CGGGCGCGGCGGCGGUCUAAGUCCCUUGGAACGGGGCGUCAUAGAGGGUGAGAAUCCCGUAUGUGACCGGCGACCAAGCCCAUGUGAAACCCCUUCGACGAGUCGAGUUGUUUGGGAAUGCAGCUCAAAAUGGGUGGUAAAUUUCAUCUAAAGCUAAAUACUGGCCGGAGACCGAUAGCGCACAAGUAGAGUGAUCGAAAGAUGAAAAGCACUUUGGAAAGAGAGUCAAACAGUACGUGAAAUUGUUGAAAGGGAAGCGCUUGCAACCAGACCUGCCCGCGGGCGAUCAGCCGUCCCUUGGGGGCGGUGCACUCGCGCGCGACCAGGCCAGCAUCGGUUGGGGCGGCCGGACAAAGGCCCCGGGAACGUAGCUCCUCUCGGGGAGUGUUAUAGCCCGGGGCGUCAUGCGGCCAGCCCGGACCGAGGACCGCGCUUCGGCUAGGAUGCUGGCGUAAUGGUUGUAAGCGGCCCGUCUUGAAACACGGACCAAGGAGUCUAACAUCUAUGCGAGUGUUUGGGCGUCAAACCCAUGCGCGUAAUGAAAGUGAACGGAGGUGGGAACCCGGGGGCGCACCAUCGACCGAUCCUGAUGUCUUCGGAUGGAUUUGAGUACGAGCAUGGCUGUUGGGACCCGAAAGAUGGUGAACUAUGCCUGAAUAGGGUGAAGCCAGAGGAAACUCUGGUGGAGGCUCGCAGCGGUUCUGACGUGCAAAUCGAUCGUCGAAUUUGGGUAUAGGGGCGAAAGGUAUGUUUUCCU
rnacentral:rRNA from 1 species